CAGUCGCCGCGGUAAUACCAGCAGCCCAAGUGGUGGUCGCGCUUAUUGGGCCUAAAGCGCUCGUAGCCUGGCCGGUAAGUUCCCCGUGAAAUCGGGUCGCCCAACGAUUCGGCUUGCGGGGAAUACUGUCGGUCUUGGGGCCGGGAGACGCCGAGGGUACUCCGGGGGUAGCGGUGAAAUGCUGUAAUCCUCGGGGGACUACCAGUGGCGAAGGCGCUCGGCGAUAACGGGCCUGACGGUGAGGGGCGAAAGCUGGGGGCGCGAACGGGAUUAGAUACCCCCGUAGUCCCUGUCUCUUAUA
rnacentral:rRNA from 1 species